rnacentral:ribozyme from 1 species
GUCAGGGUUCUUGUUUUUAUUUUACACCUUGCUUACUUCUAUGGAUGGCUUCUUCCUAGUAUUGGGAAAGGGAUCGCAAUCAAGUGCUCAAAAAAUAGAUUUUGUGGCCGAUAUUUAGUCCCAACUUC